CUAAAAUGUGUUUGUGUUGUAUUUAAGAGUAAGUUUAAGGACCUCCCUCCUUGCCCUAAAUACUGAAUAAUAUAAGACGAAUUUUGGCAUAAUUUGUACGUGAUACCAAAUUGUUUAGUACUGUCCGAAGCACACUAAACUAACCAGGUCGUGUGUGUUGUAUUAAAAAGGAAGGUAUGGACCCCCUUUGCCGCAAGUGUUGAAUUGGUCUAAGAUGAAUUUCGGCAUAAUUUAGAAGUGAUCUUUAAUCAUUUAGUACUUCCUGAAGCACACUGAACCAAACUAACCAGGUCGUGUGUGUUGUAUUUAAGAAGGAAAGUAUGUACCUCCCCCGUUCCUUUGCCGUGAGUAUUGAUAUUGGUCCAAGAUGAAUUUCAGCAUAAUUUACAAGUGAUCUUUAUUUGUCUAGUAUUGUCUGAAGCACACUGAGCUAAACUAACCAAAUCCUGUGUGUUGUAUUUAAAAAGGAAGGUAUGAACCCCCCCUUCUAUUCCUUUGCCGUGAGUAUUGAAAUUGGUCCAAGAUGAAUUUCAGCAUAAUUUGUGACUGGUCCUUGAUAGUUUAGUACUGUCCGAAGCACACUGAACUAACCUAACUGAGUCAUAAAAUCCUGCCAAAUACUGAAUUGGUAUAAGAUGAAUAUCGGCUUAAUUUGUGUGUUCUUUACUUUUAGCACUGUCCGAAGCGCACUAAAAUAAUCAAGUCGUAAAAUCCCUCCCUCCCCGUAGUUAAAAUCAGUUUGAAGAUACAGCCUUGUGUGUGUGUGAGUGUGUGUGGGUUUGUGAGUGUGUGCGUGUGUGUGUAAUGUCUUUCUCAGGCCAGCGAGAGGGGUGGCUAUCAAACCUGUACAUACAAGGGCAUAUUUUUUAGCUAGUAAGUUGUAUAAUGUUUUUGGGUUAAGUGAUGAAUUUUAAGAUAUUGAUAGAUUACCGAUGGUGGUUCACAGAGGAGAAGGAUUUAAUCGACGUCAACGGUGGCUGUACCAAAUGACUCACAGCGGCGUGUCUCUGCCAAGGCGAUUACCAAUAGUUUACAGAGUUUUACCUCCUAACAAAUGGUUAAUAUUAAUAGUUGAGUUUGAGAAAUUUGUUCCAUUAUACCUGCAAUAGUUUAUCAAGACACUGUUAACCUAUGCACUUUUACCUCAAUUUUGCCGUGAACUUCCAAGCGACGGCACUCGGAUUAACAUGACAGCUCCGGAGAUGAAAGAAGCUCUCAAAUACUCUUAAGGGUCUCUUCCGCUCGGGUGCUGGUGGCUCGCUCGUAAAGCCUGGUCCCUCAUUUUUACGUAUUACCGAACUUGUAUUAUUAUUUUUCCUGAUUGUAAAACUAAGAGUGCGUGCUGAAUAGUACGUGAAAAGAUGUAUUCUUGCCAUGAUUCUGCUCUUCAAAUGAAACAGAAGCCAAAUGUAGGAUAUAAGUUUAGCCAUGAAGGUGAUAAUGAGAACGUUUUGAUUUGUUCCGAGUCAAAACAGAACAGAAAUGAUUACAAGGAGAUCCAGCCCUUCACCCUCAACCUCCUGUAUCGUAGGAGUUAUAUCAAAUGUCUGGUUCUUAUGGGACUUGGUGAAGCGUGAAUAUGUAUUUCUAAUCCUUUGGCCGAGGGAUAAUAAUUGUUUGCCUCCCUUCUACAAGUAAUUAGAUUGUGUUGAUGAUGAUAUUGAUUGAACGCUAUUCAUUAACCCCUUGACUGGAUUUCCUAUGUGUUAAUGAUGAUAUUGAUUGAGCGCUAUUCAUUAACCCCUUGACUGUGGAUUUCCUACAGUCAGACAUCACCAAGCUACAGGAAUGGGUCAAAAAGUGUCUGCUACAAUUCAAUGAAGAAAAAUGUAGUCAUGCACCUUGGGAGGGGAUAUCCAGCAUACCAAUACCACAAGGGAAACACUCCACUAUCCACCACAGAGGCAGAGAAAGACCUGGGAGUAUAUGUUACCAGGCUACCAGUGAAAGCCAAAUCCGUGCCAAUCGCAGCGGACGGGUUAAAUCAACAUGGGGAAAAAGAGGAAUAAAAAUCAACAAGAUGCUUUUUAGUAACUGUUUGUAUUCCACUGAAAAUUGAAUUCCAACGCCUCUUGUUAACUGGCAAAAGCAAAACUGACCUACUGCUUAUCCUUUGCUGAAAUAUUUUACUUGAAGCUAGAAAAAAAAACAUAGUUGAACAUCAUGACAUUAACCGAGCCAAAAAGAGAAGACAGCCAUUGAAUUUAAAAAAGAUCAGGCUUAUACGAGGACCAUCAGCAUCUUGGUUAAGGAACGGACUGCUAAACCUUCUUACCUCAUCCACCCCUAAAGUUAUACAAAGCCAUUCUCAACCUCUGUAAGACAUUCCAGAUCCUCCUUGUCCCCAGGGAGGAUAAAUGGCUCAAGGGUUUAUUUUUUCUCAUUGUGGGUUAUUUUGCUCAGCGCGUGUGUGGCUUUUGAGGUUUAUAAUUGGCACGUGAAGGCUGGAGGGGAGGGAGAAUCGGUGCUGCCAACCUAACUACUUAACCGCAAGUUUCUGAUUCUAGCGAAGAAUUAUUUGGAGUUUGAUUACCAGGAUUCGUUUCACAUAUAAACUCAUAUGACGUACAUGUAGUUUUCGAGGUCUGUAAUUGCCGUAUAAAGGCUGAGAGAGAGAGAGAGGAACGGAGAGUUAGUACUGCUAAAUCAACUCCAUAUUCACACUUAUCUGAUUUUAGCGAAGAAUUAUUAGAAGUUUGAUUAUCGGGAUUUGUUUCACAGGUAAAGAAAUCCUCGUAUGACGUACAUGUGGCUUUCGAGGUCUGUAAUUGGUGUACAAAGGCUGAAAGCGAGAGAGAAAUGGAAAAUCCGCACUGCCAAAGUGACGCUAUAUUCUUACAUUUCUGGUUUUAGCAAAAAAUAAUAUUGAAUUGAUUAUCACGAUUUAUUUUUCAUGUAUAGAAAGUCUCGCAUGAUUUACAUUCAGGCUCAGAAAAGAUGAAAAUAUAUUAUAAAACCUGAAUUCGUAUUACUUUCUGAGUCUUUCGUAAGCUGCUCAGUUCUCCCGUGCAAUCCGUAUAUAAAGUUACUUGAGUGAAAUGAUCUUGUUACGUAAAGGGUUGCAGACUCGGAAAAGAUCAAAAACUUGUAAAAUCUGAAUUUGUAUUACUUUCUGAACCAUUCAUAUGCUGCUCAGUUCUCCCGUGCAGUCAAUAUCAAAAGUUACUCGGCUGAAAUGAUCUCGUUCCGUAAAAGAAUGCAGACUUGGAGAAUGAAAAAAAACUUGUAAAACCUGAACUUGCAUUACUUUCUGAGCCAUUCAUAUGCUGCUCAGUUCUCCCGUGCAGUCAAUAUCAAAAGUUACUCGGCUGAAAUGAUUUUGUUCUGUAAAAGGAUGCAGAAUUGGAGAAUGAAAAAAAACUUGUAAAAUCUGAACCUACGCCACUGAUCGAGGCUCACACAAGUUGCUCAGUUCCCAGUGCAAUUAAGUUAGAAAGUUACUCAACCGAACUGAAUUUGUUGCAUAAAGUGAUUGGAAAAGAAAGAAUACUGCCAGUGCUCUCGGAAAAAAUACACAAGUGGAAAUUUUUGAAAACGGAUGUUGUUAUUUUUGGGGAAGAGAGGACUAUAGUUUGUCAGAAAGGCCUAAGAUUUUUAUUUUUAUUUUUUUUAUUUUUUUUCAGAGGAGUCGUAGAUGAACGGAGAGAGAAAUACCAUGAUAGGCAGCCUUUUUUUUUUUUUUUUUUUUUUUUUUUUUUUACGAGAUCACAUUUUACGUUCAUCAUCUCACCUCUCUAUCCCUCCCAUUGCCGUUACUUUUCUUCGCGUUACUAUUAUUAUUAUUACUCUAGAACCGAUGUGCAAAGUAGUGCAAGUUUUAAUUUUAUGCGUAGUUUCUCUUCUUUAGCCGUAAGUGUUCUGUGAUUCGUUUUUCUGUCGGAUUUAUUUAAGGAAGAAAAAAAAAAUUGGAUUGGAGGGACGCAAAAAAACAGGCAUCAUUUACCCCCCCUUAAUACCUUGCCGGCUCUCCCUGUUGAACGUACAAUGUAAGCGUCGUUAUUUUAAACCCGAUUAUCGCCUUGUUACGUAAGCGAGUCUUCCUGCGGCUCACUUUUCUUUUAGUUUUGUCACGAGUUUUGUGAUAUCGUUGCAGCUAACUGACUGACGGACUCGACUUGGCGCGAGUUCGUCCGCUCAUCGGCAGCCUUAUUUUGCCUGACUUGGUUUGAGGCAUAUUCGUAGGAGGUUUUCUGCUCUUUGUUUUUUGGGGGAUAGCGUUUUUACCAAUUGUUGUUUUUGAUGAUUUGUAGUUUUAAGCCUUUCAUGUACCUAGAAGUUAGUUUUUAGUCUCAGUGAGUGAUUGGAGGUGUCCACACAAUGUUAAUUUAAGUAUGUGUGUGUGUAUGUGGGUGCGUGUGUAUGUGUUUGCGUGUGUGGGUGUUUAUGAGUUUCCAGUUGUAUAUUUAAGAAUCCGAGUGGUCGGGUAUAUGUUGAAGCCAUUGUAGAGGAUUAUGGUUAAGAAUUUCAGUGUUCAAAAGUGUUCGUGACAUGGAAAUUAACGAUCAAGGACGAACAAGUGCCGAGCAGCGUCCUGAACGAAGCAAGAAACACAAAAGAAGGAGAGAAAGUUGUGAAUUUUAAACUUAGAUUAUUUGCCGAGCCUUGCCUUGAUUUUGGUUGAGUGAUGGGAUUGAAAUACAUCGUUGGCGAGUGGUCGAGAAUGUUUAACAGUGAAUGUGUGUGGUGCUUAUUCUUGGCAAGGUUUUAAAUUCAAGUUCGCAUUUCUGCCACGCAAAGGAUUAAUUCAUAUGUAAAAAUUCAUAAAUAUUGCUUUUCCACACGAUCAUAACAUUACCAAAUCGAUGAAGUAGCGGAUAAAAGCAAUCAUUUCAAAACUCUAUUUCGUCCCCACACAAAUUUAUUUCAAGACGGUUUUAUGAUCUUUAUUUACAAGUCAUCACCGCUACUUUGUGGGUCUUAAAAUAUCACGAGUUUGGUGUUCGUUUGGAGGUAAAAUGUGAAAGACAGAAUCACCCACCAACAAAACAUGAAAAAAACAUUAGAAUUUUGGAGUUUCAUCGUCUGAAUCUGAAUUGGAAGAGACGAGAAGGCAAGAAAACGGUGUAUAAAUUUUCUGGAUAUAAAUCAACUCAGUGCGAGAGGGAAAUGAGAGUGAGUAUGCAUGUAUGUGUAUAGUUUGCAUGCUUGUACUCUGGUGUGUAAUUCAGGUGUGUGUGUGUGGGUUUGGAUAGGUGUUCAUGUGUGUGUGUGUGUGUGUGUGCGCCUGCGAGUCUACAUCUUCCCGUCUGUGUGACUGGUUCGGGCCAAGAGAGUGUGUCCAGAGCUUGCCGUAACAGUCGUCGGCAGCUGAGAGGAGGAACGCAAGCGAGUCUUGUGUAUUUAUACGUAUAAUAUACCUACUUAAUAAGGAUUUUUUGUGUUGAUGUUCAAAUCUUUUUAUAUAAUUGCAUUUUUAAGCAGAUGGUUGUGGAGGAUUGGUGUCACAUAUCGAGUGUUUGUCUUUGUAAUAAGUCACAUGAGACAAAUAAAACUUUUUUUUA